CCUUAACCCCAAGUGCUCCACUGACUCUGCUAUUUUAUUUCUAAGCAAGAAACAGGCCCCAGGGCAGCUCCUUUGGCAGCAAAUGUAAACUGUGGCUCCAGUGUGGAGGAGGCUAAGAGUAAGCAAAAGGCAGAUAAUCACAAAAUUGCGGAAGCAGUGCAUCAUCUCCAGAAGUCCAAAGCAAAUUGCAGGCAAUACAAAUUGGAACAAGGACUGUCGCAGCCAGGACCUUCCAGACUUGUGUGCCACAGCACCUAGGACCUAGCAUCAAUUUAUAUUGAUGGACUCCAACCUCCUACUGACAGGCAGACAGGGAGGGGCUUCAGAGAGUAGUAAAGGCCGCACAGAAAAUCAUUGGCUGCCCUCUCCCCUCCCUGAUGGAUAUUUACACCUCCUGUUGCCUCCGCGGAGCAUAAAACAUCAUCAAGGACAGCUCCCACCCUGGCUCUGAUCUGUUUGACCUGCUUCCCUCAGGGAGGCGCUACAGGUGCAUCACAGCAAGGACUAACAGACUCAAGAAGUUUUUUCCCAAAAGCCAUAACUCACACAGGCACUGACUACACAGUCUAACCCCCCUACCCCUGGACUUCCUUCUAACCAACUAUAUCAACUGUGGAAUUUCCAGUAUCUAAAUGCUAUUGAUAAUAACUGUGCAAUAUCUGUAUACUGUACAAUAUCAUCGCUUUGUGUCCAACAUCCAUUACUCACUGCACAUGAUCAUCACUACUGUGUAAUAUUUAAAUAAUGUGUAAUAACCUACACAGUUAUUUAUUCCUUCCAUAUGU